rnacentral:rRNA from 1 species
CGCGAGGUAGAGCAAAUCUCAAAAAGACAUCUCAGUUCAGAUUGCAGGCUGCAACUCGCCUGCAUGAAGUCGGAAUUGCUAGUAAUCGUAGGUCAGCAUACUACGGUGAAUACGUUCCCGGGCCUUGUACACACCGCCCGUCAAACCAUGAGAGUUGGCAACACCCGAAGUCGGUAGUCUAACCGCAAGGAGGACGCCGCCGAAGGUGGGGUUGAUGAUUAGGGUUAAGUCGUAACAAGGUAUC